rnacentral:rRNA from 1 species
UGAGGAACAUGACCUUCGGCGGGGGAUAGCCGGCCAACGGCCGGGUAAUACCGCGUACGACCACUUUGGGACAUCCCUCGGUGGUGAAAGCAGCAAUGCGCCGAUGGAGCGCCUCGCGGCCUAUCAGCUAGUUGGUGAGGUAACGGCUCACCAAGGCGACGACGGGUAGCUGGUCUGAGAGGAUGGCCAGCCACAGUUGGGACUGAGACACCGGGCCCGGACUCCGUACGGGAGGNAG